AGUGAACGCUGGCGGUAGGCCUAACACAUGCAAGUCGAACGGCAGCACAGUAAGAGCUUGCUCUUACGGGUGGCGAGUGGCGGACGGGUGAGGAAUACAUCGGAAUCUACUUUUUCGUGGGGGAUAACGUAGGGAAACUUACGCUAAUACCGCAUACGACAUACGGGUGAAAGCAGGGGAUCUUCGGACCUUGCGCGAUUGAAUGAGCCGAUGUCGGAUUAGCUAGUUGGCGUGGUAAAGGCCCACCAAGGCGACGAUCCGUAGCUGGUCUGAGAGGAUGAUCAGCCACACUGGAACUGAGACACGGUCCAGACUCCUACGGGAGGCAGCAGUGGGGAAUAUUGGACAAUGGGCGCAAGCCUGAUCCAGCCAUACCGCGUGGGUGAAGAAGGCCUUCGGGUUGUAAAGCCCUUUUGUUGGGAAAGAAAAGCAGCAGGUUAAUACCCCGCUGUUCUGACGGUACCCAAAGAAUAAGCACCGGCUAACUUCGUG
rnacentral:rRNA from 1 species